rnacentral:lncRNA from 1 species
CACUCGGCGCCCCCACCCGGGCCCUGCCGGCAGGCACGAGGGGCGGGGCGCGCGGCCCGAGGUGAGGGACCGCGGGCCGGAGGGGAUCCAGCGAGUCAGCUGCCGCCGAGGGACCAGCGCGGGUCUAGCUGCUGCCGCCAUCCCCACCAUCCCUGACCGCGCCUGCCCGGGCUCCGCGCCAGGAGGAGCGGCCAGGCCCAGCCCCGGCACCGCGCGCUCGGGGACCCCGACGGCGCCCAGCCCGGCGAGGGGCCUCAGGGGGAGGACGAGGAGGAAAGGCGGCCUCGCCGGGGACCCGGCCAUGGCGCUGGACUUCUUGGCUGGAUGCGCGGGGGCCAUCCAGCGGGGUUGGGGCUACGGAGCCGACCCCCUACUCGGCUGGCCUUGGAGGGCACUGAACCACUCUGGCGCCGAGUCACGCCUUGGAACGCCGCCCCUUCCUACGCGGUUUUGUGUGGCAGGCGUGCUUGUGGGACACCCGUUUGACACGGUCAAGGCCCUUGGGACUGAAAGAAUCCAAGAUCUGGAUCUCCUCUAUAGCGCCCAGAACCACAGCCACCGUCCUGAAGCACACGGCCUUCACACGUUUCUACACGAAGGGAGUUUUCUGUCCUGCUUCCUUGGACACAGCAAUAAUCAGGGAGCAGUUGUCUUGACCUAUGAUGAGGGGGUGACCGGCCAUCCCUGGGCAUGGGAUGGGGAGUGUGGGUGGGGGCUGGCUGUGGGGGCUCCGCGCCUGGAUGUGAUGUUGAAAUUUUGUGUUGCUUUAACCGCCUUUACUUUCUGAGCUAGGGGCU